UACGGAGGAUGCGAGCGUUAUCCGGAUUUAUUGGGUUUAAAGGGUGCGUAGGCGGCUUUUUAAGUCAGCGGUGAAAUUUUGCAGCUUAACUGUAACAGUGCCGUUGAUACUGGGGAGCUAGGAUUUGGUUGCUGUGGGUGGAAUGUGUGGUGUAGCGGUGAAAUGCUUAGAGAUCACACAGAAUAUCGAUUGCGAAGGCAGCUCAUAAAGCCAAGAUUGACGCUGAGGCACGAAAGUGUGGGGAUCAAACAGGAUUA
rnacentral:rRNA from 1 species